UGGCCACAUUAUGUAGAAACACUGGUCUCCAUAUGAUCACCAAAGUUAAGCAACAUUGAGCCUGGUCAGUACUUAGAUGAGUGACUGCUUGUGAAUACCAGGUAG